UACGGAGGGAGCUAGCGUUAUUCGGAAUUACUGGGCGUAAAGCGCACGUAGGCGGCUUUGUAAGUUAGAGGUGAAAGCCCGGAGCUCAACUCCGGAAUUGCCUUUAAGACUGCAUCGCUUGAAUCCAGGAGAGGGUAGUGGAAUUCCCGGUGUAGUGGUGAAAUGCGUAGAUAUCGGGAGGAACACCAGUGGCGAAGGCGGCACUCUGGGCCGGAACUGACGCUGAGGAGCGAAAGCGUGGGGAGCGAACAGG
rnacentral:rRNA from 1 species